UACAGAGGGUGCAAGCGUUGUUCGGAAUUACUGGGCGUAAAGCGUGCGCAGGCGGUUUUGCAAGUCAGAUGUGAAAUCCCCGGGCUUAACCUGGGAACUGCGUUUGAAACUACAAGGCUAGAGUGUGGCAGAGGGGGGUGGAAUUCCACGUGUAGCAGUGAAAUGCGUAGAGAUGUGGAGGAACACCGAUGGCGAAGGCAGCCCCCUGGGUUAACACUGACGCUCAGGCACGAAAGCGUGGGGAGCAAACAGG
rnacentral:rRNA from 1 species